rnacentral:rRNA from 1 species
UGCAGUCGAGCGGAACGAGUUGUCUGAACCUUCGGGGAACGAUAACGGCGUCGAGCGGCGGACGGGUGAGUAAUGCCUGGGAAAUUGCCCUGAUGUGGGGGAUAACCAUUGGAAACGAUGGCUAAUACCGCAUAAUAGCUUCGGCUCAAAGAGGGGGACCUUCGGGCCUCUCGCGUCAGGAUAUGCCCAGGUGGGAUUAGCUAGUUGGUGAGGUAAGGGCUCACCAAGGCGACGAUCCCUAGCUGGUCUGAGAGGAUGAUCAGCCACACUGGAACUGAGACACGGUCCAGACUCCUACGGGAGGCAGCAGUGGGGAAUAUUGCACAAUGGGCGCAAGCCUGAUGCAGCCAUGCCGCGUGUAUGAAGAAGGCCUUCGGGUUGUAAAGUACUUUCAGCAGUGAGGAAGGUGGUGUACUUAAUACGUGCAUCAUUUGACGUUAGCUGCAGAAGAAGCACCGGCUAACUCCGUGCCAGCAGCCGCGGUAAUACGGAGGGUGCGAGCGUUAAUCGGAAUUACUGGGCGUAAAGCGCAUGCAGGUGGUUUGUUAAGUCAGAUGUGAAAGCCCGGGGCUCAACCCUCGGAAUUGCAUUUUGAAACUGGCAGACUAGAGUACUGUAGAGGGGGGUAGAAUUUC